CCUACGGGAGGCAGCAGUCGGGAAUAUUGGACAAUGGGCGCAAGCCUGAUCCAGCCAUACCGCGUGUGUGAAGAAGGCCUUCGGGUUGUAAAGCACUUUAAGCAGGGAGAAAAAGUUAUAAGUUAAUACCUUAUAACCGUGAUGUUACCUGCAGAAUAAGCACCGGCUAAUUCCGUGCCAGCAGCCGCGGUAAA
rnacentral:rRNA from 1 species